GACGAACGCUGGCGGCGUGCCUAAUACAUGCAAGUAGGACGCAGUUGCGAACGGGUGAGUACCACGUAGGUGACUACACAUUAGCGGGGGAUAACUAAUGGAAACGAUAGCUAAUACCUCAUACUCGUAGAUGGACCUGCGUUGUAUUAGCUAGUAGGUAGGGUAAUGGCCUACCUAGGCAACGCUACAUAGCCAAACGGAGAGGGUGAUCGGCCACACUGGGACUGAGACACUGGCCAGACUCCUACGGGAGGCAGCAGUAGGGAAGCUUCGGCAAUGGGGGGAAACCUGAACGAGCAACGCCGCGUGAGUGAAGAAGGUGUUCGGAUCGGAAAUAUCUGUUGGUAAGGAAGCGGUACUUAACCAGAAAGGGACGGCUAACUACGUGCCAGCAGCCGCGGUAAUAC
rnacentral:rRNA from 1 species